AGCCCCGACGCCCGUCCUCCGCCCGUCGCGUCGCUUCGAUGCUCGCAGUCGCGACUCGCCUCCUCCUCCCCGUUCCCCAUUCAUCCUAAAGGCCUAAACCCUAGCCACCUUGCUCCCGCGCUCCGGCCGCCGGUGUGUCCCCUCCUCCUCCGGCCGCCGGCGCCGGUGCAACAACGCGCCGCCGCCUUUGCAUCCCGUCCAGGGCUGCACGGCCACCUGUGCCCAGUGGGUUGUGCGGCCCCCAACACAAGUUCGGCGCCGACCACCGCCGAACCGAAGCCGUCUGCGCGUCCUCAUCCGCGGCAGCGCCCGCCACUGCGGCAGUGCGUGCUGCCUCCGGUAUUGCGGCUGCCAGAUCCCGCCGCGGCACCUGCAGUCCCAGUUUGGUGCACAUGCUCUAAGAUAUGAGAUAGUCCUUUGCGAGUGAUUGGAAAGAUGGCGUCAAAAGGUCCCCGGUCAAAGCUAGACCAUGAGACAAGAGCUAGGCGUCAGAAGGCUCUUGAAGCUCCAAGGGAGCCUCGACGGCCAAAAGUUCACUGGGACCAUGUUCUUGCUGAGAUGGUGUGGCUGGCAAAGGAGUUUGAUUCUGAGAGAAAAUGGAAGUUGUCCAUGGCCAAAAAAAUUGCUCAAAGAGCAAAUAAGAGCAUAGUUGACCAAGCAACAAAGGGCGAGAGAAAACAGAAGGAGGAAGAACAUAGAAUGCGAAAAGUUGCCCUUAAUAUUUCAAAGGAUGUGAAGAAGUUCUGGAUUAAAAUAGAAAAACUGGUUGUUUAUAAGCAUCAACUGGAGGUUGAGGAGAGAAAGAAGAAGGCACUUGAUAAGCAACUUGAUUUCCUUUUAGGUCAGACUGAAAGGUAUUCGACAAUGUUGGCGGAAAACCUUGUGGACAUGCCCUAUUCCCAAAACCUAGAAAACGGGACUUCGAAGAUAAACCAACCAUCCCAUCAAGAGGAAGUAGCAGAAGAGAACAUAAAUGCAGCCAUUCCUGAUGAUCUUGAUAAUAUGGAAGUCGAUGAUGAUUAUGAGAGCUCCUUGGAUGAAGAGCCAGAAGAUGAUGAGCACACAAUCGAUGAGGAUGAAGCUCAGAUCACCGAAGCUGAGCGGAAUGAAGAACUAGCUGCUUUAGAGGCAGAAGCUGACCUACCACUGGAUGUUAUUCUCAAGAUGUAUACAAAAACCAAAGUUCAAUAUGUCUCAGUUAGCAGGGAAAGCAGUCCAGACAGCAAAGACAUAUUAAGUAACUUAGGUUCGAAGAAUUUGAUUGUAGAUUCUUCGAACCAGGCUAAUGGCUGUGAUCAUGAACCUGCUCACUCUUCAAGUGACGAUGGCAAUUCUUCAGAGGAAGUGGAUGAUGGUCAUUCUUAUGCUGAGUUUGUGAAGAAGAGUCAUGGUAAAAGUAAUGGAAAUAUUUCUUCUAUCAAUGAUCAGGAGGACGAAGAUUACGUUGCUGCUGAAGAAGUAAAGGAUGACGAAACAACUUUGUCUGAAGAGGAAGAAUUGGCAAAGAAAGAAGAUCCUGAUCAUCUGGAAGAGAUUAAGUUACUGCAGAAGGAGAGUGAGAUACCACUAGAAGAACUUAUCGCGAGGUACCGAAAGGAUGGCUGUGCAGAUCAUGAAACAGCGGAGUUGGAGAAUUCACCCCAUUUUGUUGAAGAGGUCAAUACUGAUAUGUCUUUGGAUGAUCAAUCUGUGAACAUUUUGGAAGCAAAAAGUGAUAUAUCUGUGGAUCACCUAUCCAGGGAUGUGCUGGAAACUGAGCACAUGGCUCUACAAUCAGAAAUCGAUGUGCUGGAAACUGAGCACAAGGCUCUACAGUCAGAAAUCACAUCAGUGCAGUGUGCUGAACAAAAUUUUGUGGAAGAGAAUAAUCUCACUGAUGUUAAUACAGUCAAUGGAGAUAAGAGUGAUGAUGUAAUUGCUGAUGCCGCAGCUGCUGCAAGAUCAGCACAACCAACUGGCAACACCUUCUUGACUACAAAAGUGCGCACGAAAUUCCCAUUCCUUCUUAAGCAUUCUCUUCGUGAAUACCAGCAUAUAGGGCUGGAUUGGUUGGUUGCUAUGUAUGAGAAGAGGCUGAAUGGAAUUCUAGCAGACGAAAUGGGUUUAGGCAAGACAAUCAUGACUAUCUCCUUGCUAGCACACCUUGCGUGUGAGAAGGGGAUAUGGGGUCCUCAUCUUAUUGUCGUGCCGACUAGUGUUAUGCUAAAUUGGGAGACUGAAUUUCUUAAGUGGUGUCCUGCUUUUAAAAUACUGACUUAUUUCGGAAGUGCAAAGGAAAGAAAGCAGAAACGUCAGGGCUGGAUGAAACCAAAUUACUUCCAUGUUUGCAUCACAACAUAUAGGCUUGUCAUUCAGGACUCUAAAGUAUUUAAGCGAAAAAAGUGGAAGUAUCUUAUUCUUGAUGAGGCUCAUCUGAUAAAGAACUGGAAAUCACAGCGUUGGCAGACUUUGCUUAACUUUAAUUCAAAGAGACGUAUUCUUCUGACUGGAACUCCACUGCAAAAUGACCUUAUGGAACUUUGGUCCCUCAUGCAUUUUCUGAUGCCUCAUGUAUUUCAGUCUCAUCAAGAGUUUAAGGAUUGGUUCUGCAAUCCAAUUUCUGGGAUGGUGGAAGGCCAAGAUAAAGUAAACAAAGAAGUUAUAGAUCGAUUGCACAAUGUCCUUCGUCCAUUUAUACUGCGUCGACUGAAAAGGGAUGUUGAGAAGCAGUUACCAAAGAAGCAUGAACAUGUCAUAUAUUGCCGACUUUCUAGAAGGCAAAGGAACUUGUAUGAAGAUUUUAUAGCUAGCUCAGAGACACAAGCAACACUGGCUAGUGGGAAUUAUUUUGGCAUGAUAAGCAUCAUUAUGCAACUUAGAAAGGUCUGUAACCAUCCAGAUCUUUUUGAAGGCCGGCCAAUAAUAAGCUCAUUUGACAUGGCUGGGGUUAACAUGCAGCUCAGCUAUUCAGUCUGCAUGCUCCUUGAUAAGAGUCCAUUUUCUCAGGUGGACCUGUCUGAUAUGAAUUUUGUGUUUACUCAAAAUGAAUUUAGCAUGAGUUCCUGGGAAGCUGACGAGGUCAUCUCUGCCUUUCCUUCAAGUAUCACUUCCAGGGACUGUGACCUGGAUAUUUUUUGCUCUAAUAAGGAUCAUCAGGGAAGUAAUUUGACAAAUAUUUUUGAAGAUAUUCAGAAAGCCCUACAGGAGGAGAGAAUAAAAGAAUCCAGAGAAAGGGCAGCUUCCAUUGCAUGGUGGAAUAGAGUUAGAUGCCAAAAGAGGCCUAUCUAUGGCACAAACAUGAGACAGGUUUUGACUGUAAAUCAUCCUGUAUCGAACAUUCUUGAUAAGAGGAACAACCCUUUGUGCCACAUGGACUAUUCAUCAAGCCUUGCAGAUCUUGUUCUUCCAUCUGUGGAACGCUUUCAGAAAAUGCUUGAUAUUGUUGAAUCAUUUACAUUCGCAAUUCCUGCUGCUCGAGCUCCUCCCCCUGUUUGCUGGUGCAGCAAAGGAAAGUCUCCUGUUUUUAUUGAUCCGGCAUAUAGAGAAAAAUGCAUGAACAAGUUUUCUCCCAUUCUGUCUCCUAUAAGGUCUGCUAUUGUUCGUCGUCAAGUCUACUUUCCUGAUAGGCGUUUGAUCCAGUUUGAUUGUGGGAAGUUGCAGGAACUUGCAAUUCUUUUAAGGCGUUUGAAGUCAGAAGGGCACAGGGCCUUGAUAUUUACUCAGAUGACUAAGAUGCUUGAUGUCUUGGAAGAGUUCAUAAAUCUAUAUGGGUAUACAUAUUUACGUUUAGAUGGUUCUACUCCCCCAGAAGAGAGGCAGACUCUGAUGCAGAGGUUCAACACAAAUCCAAAGUUUUUCCUUUUCAUUUUGUCCACUCGUAGUGGUGGUGUGGGAAUCAACCUUGUAGGUGCAGACACUGUCAUCUUCUAUGACAGUGACUGGAACCCUGCAAUGGACCAACAAGCACAGGACAGAUGCCACAGGAUUGGUCAGACUCGUGAAGUUCACAUAUAUAGACUCAUUAGCGAAAGCACUAUAGAGGAGAACAUUCUCAAGAAAGCAAAUCAGAAACGAGCUCUUGAUGAUUUAGUGAUACAGCGUGGUAGCUACAAUACGGAAUUCUUCAAGAAACUUGAUCCUAUGGAGUUCUUUUCUGGGCACAUGUCUCUCCAUGCGGAAGAUCAGGAGAAAAAUUGCUCUACAACCGUGGAAGCUUCAAAUGACGUGGAUCUGGCUCUGUCAAAUGCAGAUGUUGAAGCAGCUAUUAGACAGGCAGAAGAUGAAGCUGACUAUAUGGCUCUCAAGAAGCUGGAGGAGGAAGAGGCCGUGGACAAUCAAGAAUUCAGUGAGGAGGUUGCUGGCAGAGCAGAGGAGGAUGAAUUGGUUAAUGAGGAGGAUGGAAAACCCGAUGAGCACAUUAAUGAAGAACACAAAUACAACUCUUCUGAUGUAGAGAAGGAGAAGCACAUUACUUUGUCUACCAAGCGAUUAAAUGAUGAAAAGGCUCUUACAUUGGCUGUUGGUGAUGAAGAUACUGACAUGCUUGCUGAUGUGAAACAGAUGGCAGCUGCAGCAGCUGCAGCAGGUCAAGCAAGUUCAUCUUUUGAGAACCAGCUCCGGCCAAUUGAUAGAUAUGCAAUGCGCUUUAUGGAACUCUGGGAUCCAGUAAUUGACAAAGCUGCUGUGAAUCAUCAAGUAAACGUUGAGGAGGAAGAAUGGGAGCUUGACCGUAUUGAAAAACUCAAAGAGGAUUUAGAAGCAGAAAUUGAUGAAGACCAAGAACCACUGUCUUAUGAAUCAUGGGAUGUAGAUUUUGCUACGACAGCCUAUCGGCAACAUGUUGAAGCUUUAACUCAAAAGCAGUUGUUGGAAGAACAGGAAAGGCAGGCUCAGGAAGCAGCAAAGGAGUUGGAGGAGAAGAAUGAUAAUAUGAGCAGUCACCGCAGAAAGUCAAAAAAGAACAAAAAGAAGACAGGCAAAUUCAAGUCCCUAAAAAGAGUGCGUUUGUCGUCUGAAUCAGAAGUCUUACUGGAGGAAACCUCUGUAGACACAAUGAGCAUUGAUGACAAUGCACACUCACCUGAGCUUAUAAGUGAUGAAUCGCCACACCAUUACUCUAACAAGCGCAAGAAGAUUAUGUCUGCUACUGAGGAAGAUAGUAACAGCAGAAGUUUAAAGAAGUUUAAGAAAACUACUAAGUCAAGUUUUAUUUCUGAAGCCUUGUCACCUAGGCUGAAGGAUGACCUUAAUGAUUCAGAUCCAAAAUCAGUGGCUAGAACUAAAAGUGAUGGCAGAAUUUCCAUCCCUUGCAUGCCAGUAAAACGUAUUAUUGUAAUAAAGCCUGAGAGAUUGAAAAAGAAGGGAAUAUGGUCUCGAGAUUGUGCUUCAGACUCAUGGACAUCUGAGGAAGAUGCAGUUCUUUGUGGAACUGUGCACGAGUAUGGUCCUCUUUGGGAAUUGGCAAGUGAUUUUCUUCAUUCCUUGCCAGGUGGGUCCUAUAGGGGAAGAUAUCAUCAUCCUGUGCAUUGCUGUGAGAGAUACAGAGAACUGUUCUGCAAACAUGCAAUAUCAGCAACAGAUAAUUCUAACAGUGAAAAGGUUCCUUCUGGGACUGGAAAGGCUAUACUUAGAGUAUCUGAGGAUCAAGCUCAGAUGUUGGUGAAUGUGACCAGUGAACUUCCUAACAAUGAAUUGCUUCUCCAGAAACACUUCAUGGCUGUAAUUUCAUCUGUCUGGAGAUCAAAAUGUCGCCGUGAUCCCUGCUGUUUUACGAAUACUUACUCUAGUACAUUACAUAUGUUUUCUCCUGUGAAGAAGCCUGGUGGAUCAAGUGGGAACUGGCCCAUGGUAAACUUUAGACCAAGCUUCAAUCUAGUUAGGAAAGCCCUUGCAGAUGCUCAGGCUAAGUCUACACUAAUGGUGAUUCCACCACCGUCAAGAAAUCAGGAAUACCGGCGGAAUUAUUUAGAAUUAGAGUUAGAUUUCUUGAAAGAUCAACAUGCUUAUGAGGAAGGCUUCCCAUCUGUAGUAAAUGUGUCCAUACUGGAACCAGAACCAUCGAAACAGGCUUCAGAGCCAGUGGAACAAUCGUUAUUGUCUGGAGUUUCUUGUAGACAAGCUGAGAACAGACUCAGGUUAGCAUCAGAAGCUUGUUACGAUGGUGAAAGUUCUCAUUGGGCAUCAUCAGCUUUCCACAUAAAUGAUGCCACCCGCUAUAAAUCUGGUUCAAAGUCCAUAGGAAAGCACAAAGCAGCAUCGGAAUCUGGUAGACCUCCCAAAUCCAAAGUCCAGAAGAUUACUGAAUCUCAUCAGGAAGGGCCAAUUGUCAUGAGUAAUUUUCUCCGUAUGCCUGCUCAAAUAUUGCCAAGUACAGCUGACUUCCACAUUAGUGACUCCCUAUCUGAAUUUGGUAUCAGCGAUUCUGAAUUCAACUACUCUGAGGAUCUCUUUCAAGAGGUUGACGAUUUUGAGUUCUUCCCAGAUCAGGGUGACUCUGGUCUCCUUCCUGGUAUUGAAGAGUUAGAACCUCUUUCGGAUUUCACAGAUAUCGGAUGAACAUAGAUGAGCAAAUUAUUCUUGAUGGGAUGCCCUCCUACACCAAGAGGAGACAAGAUUGCCUCUGGCAGGAGCCCAAGGAUAUAGGUUGAGUUGCCCAGCCGUGCUCAGAUGUGUUGCAAGCUUGAUCAUGGUUGGCUGGAGCGAAGCUGCUGGCUUGGUGAGGUCACAUUGAUCUGACAAGCUUGGAGGAUGGAUUUGCACUAAUGGCGGCAUUGGGUAAUUUCCAUACAUGUACCAACAGAGAAGGGAAAAGAGGAGGCCUUCAGCAUCACUCAUUUGUUGCUGUAUCUCGUAUUAUGUUCAUUCUCUGUUUAACCCAAUGUGUGGCUAUCUUGCCAUUGAAAACGUCUCAGAUGUCAAGUUGUUGGUUGCCAUCGCUAUCAGAAAUUUAGGAUGUGGCGCCAAUGUGGCUGCCAAAGAAUGAUCAGUCAAAUGCAGCUUAUGGGCGCAUUGUAUUUGGUCAGGAAUCAAUGCAUGGUAUCAAUAUUGUCAGAACUGGUAUUCCAGUUUCACUUGAGGAAUGCAAUUUCUGGUUUGAUCGAGACGCUGGAGGCAAGUUUUGCAUAGGAAGUAAAGAGCGUGGCCAUAGUUAUACAUGUAUGUAACAAUAUGAUGUAAGGUAGUAAUCUUCACUCUCAACUUUUGGGCUCAUGGUUCUGUGGACUCUCGGUCUCGGUUAUGCCAAUUAAUAGCCAUAACUUGUUGGAGGCGAGGGAGCUUGUAGAACAGCGGGCUGCUGCUGUGAGCCUGUAACAGUGCAAUUGAUUGUGCGCCAGUAUAUUGGUUUUUUUUGGUAAGUAGACGUAUCACUGCAAAGCAACAUUGAGAACUUGAGAUAGAAGUAACUGGUCUGUUUCGCUCAAAAGUACUUUGAGCUUGUAUUCAGUCUUGGACACCAAUAACCUGUAAGCUGAGAAUGUUUGGCCAAUCCCAUAAUCUGUAAGCUGACUAGCUGAGAAUGUCUGGCCAAUCCCAUAAUCUGUAAGCUGAGAAUGUUUGGCCAAUCAAGGUUUAGGCCAUGUUUAGAUCCAUUUUUUUUUGGAUUUGAACAUUGCAGUACUUUCGUUUA